GCCUACACAUGCAAGUCGAGGGGUAACGUAAGUGCUUGCACUUGACGACGACCGGCGCACGGGUGCGGAACGCGUAUGGAACCUACCUUUAUCAGGGGGAUAGCCCAUGGAAACGUGGAUUAAUACCCCAUAGUAUUAAAUCAUUGCAUGAUGAUUUAAUUAAAGAAUUUCGGAUAGAGAUGGCCAUGCGUAUCAUUAGCUAGUAGGCGAGGUAACGGCUCACCUAGGCGACGAUGAUUAGGGGUCCUGAGAGGGAGAUCCCCCACACUGGUACUGAGACACGGACCAGACUCCUACGGGAGGCAGCAGUGAGGAAUAUUGGGCAAUGGAGGCAACUCUGACCCAGCCAUGCCGCGUGCAGGAAGACGGCCCUAUGGGUUGUAAACUGCUUUUAUACAGGAAGAACACCACCCACGUGUGGGUGACUGACGGUACUGUAAGAAUAAGGACCGGCUAACUCCGUGCCAGCAGCCGCGGUAAUACGGAGGGUCCAAGCGUUAUCCGGAAUCAUUGGGUUUAAAGGGUCCGUAGGCGGGCUAAUAAGUCAGAGGUGAAAGUUUGCAGCUCAACUGUAAAAUUGCCUUUGAUACUGUUAGUCUUGAGUUAUAGUGAAGUGGUUAGAAUAAGUGGUGUAGCGGUGAAAUGCAUAGAUAUCACUUAGAAUACCGAUUGCGAAGGCAGAUCACUAACUGUAUACUGACGCUGAGGGACGAAAGCAUGGGUAGCGAACGGGAUUAGAUACCCCGGUAGUCCAUGCUGUAAACGAUGGAUACUAGCUGUUGGCUUCGGUCAGUGGCUAAGCGAAAGUGAUAAGUAUCCCACCUGGGGAGUACGUUCGCAAGAAUGAAACUCAAAGGAAUUGACGGGGGCCCGCACAAGCGGGUGGAGCAUGUGGUUUAAUUCGAUGA
rnacentral:rRNA from 1 species